rnacentral:rRNA from 1 species
UAUGUGGUUUAAUUCGAUGCAACGCGAAGAACCUUACCUGGUCUUGACAUCCCGGAGACCCUUAGGAAACUAGGGGGUGCUUCCAUCUGGAAGAAUCUGGAGACAGGUGCUGCAUGGCUGCCGUCAGCUCGUGUCGUGAGAUGUUGGGUUAAGUCCCGCAACGAGCGCAACCCUUGCCUUUAGUUGCCAGCAGUUCGGCUGGGCACUCUAAAGGGACUGCCGGUGUUAAACCGGAGGAAGGUGGGGAUGACGUCAAGUCCUCAUGGCCUUUAUGACCAGGGCUACACACGUACUACAAUGGCCGAUACAAAGGGCAGCGACACUGCGAGGUGAAGCCAAUCCCGUAAAAUCGGUCUCAGUCCGGAUUGGAGUCUGCAACUCGACUCCAUGAAGUUGGAAUCGCUAGUAAUCGUGGAUCAGCAUGCCACGGUGAAUACGUUCCCGGGCCUU